rnacentral:rRNA from 1 species
GACGAACGCUGGCGGCGUGCCUAACACAUGCAAGUCGAGCGGGGUAUGUGAGGUAGCUUACUACCGAGCGUACCUAGCGGCGGACGGGUGAGUAACGCGUGAGCAACCAACCUUGUACAGGGGGAUAACAGGUGGAAACACCUGCUAAUACCGCAUAAGACCACGGCACUGCAUGGUGAUGUGGUAAAAGGAGCGGAAGCUCCGGUACAAGACGGGCUCGCGUCCCAUUAGCUAGUUGGUGGGGUAACGGCCUACCAAGGCGACGAUGGGUAGCCGGCCUGAGAGGGUGGACGGCCACACUGGGACUGAGACACGGCCCAGACUCCUACGGGAGGCAGCAGUGGGGAAUAUUGCGCAAUGGGGGGAACCCUGACGCAGCGACGCCGCGUGAGCGAAGAAGGCCUUCGGGUCGUAAAGCUCUGUCUUUGGGGACGAAGGAGAUGACGGUACCCAAGGAGGAAGCCCGGCUAACUACGUGCCAGCAGCCGCGGUAAAUAGCGUACU